CAGGCCCCCCCUGCCCUCCGCCAAGUGCAUCUGCUUCGCAGAAGGGCUGGAGACCACGAGGGACACGCCGGACUCCAGAAAGAAAAAAAGCUGCUACGACUCCCCUGUCUUAAUCCAGCCCAGAUCUCAGUGGAAACCUAACACCACUCUAGUGACCCUGGAACUGCACCAGUGCCUCACAUCACCAAAUAAGCCUGGAUCCCGAAACCCAGCUAGCAAGAAGCUGUUGACUGGGGAGACAGGUCAACUUCUAAGUGUCAUUCAGCCAGGAGUCUUCCCACCUACAGAAACCAGCAACUAAAGGAACUAUUCCACAUUGGACUCCCAUUGCCUCUCUACUUUAUUCAUGUUUAAUGCAACUUGUGUCUGAUUGAACCCGUACACCUUGUGCCUGCCCUGGAUUCAUCCUUCUCCAGAAGCACUUGCCACUGGGUCAACUCUUCCAGGACCGAUCCUGUUAAAGUGAGUGAGACUUCGUCAGAACGGGGCUUCUCUUGGCCUAUUUCCUGGGGAACAGGAUACAUUGGCUUCAGAGAAUUGACAGUGUGCAAGUGUUGCGAUAAAUGUGGGAGUGGGGUAAAAUAGAUCUUACAGGAAGCUCAAAGAAACUGAGCUACUCUAAGCCAGUUGCAGAGUGGUGUUGCUUCAAAAUUAUAGGGAUUGACUUUCAAAAUUGUUGAAGGGUAAUUGAUUUUUAUUAUGAAUUUUAUUGGAGAGGCGGCAUAAAAAUUUCUAAAAAUUUGCAGAGUUCUUCCCAUAGGAAAACUUCCUAAUGUUCCCUUGAAGCCAUUUUCUCACUGCAGCUGUUCCUAUUCAUUCCAUCCCCCCACCCCAUCCACCAGGCACAGCUCCUUCCCCCUAGUUAUACACUCCCAGUCACCAACUCCUCUGAAGGUCUCAGGCAAUAUGCCCUCCAGGAACCUCUCCACCCAGUUCUUUCACACCUCCUUUCCCAUAAAUAAUAGCCCCUGAGAGGUACAGUCCCUUUCCACUUGGUCUUAUUUGGUUUUGCUAAGAGUAGCCAGUUAGGAAUUCUGGUUCAUCCUAGGAAAAAAUACUUGUUGAUCACCUAUCAUAUG